AAGUCGUAACAAGGUUUCCGUAGGUGAACCUGCGGAAGGAUCAUUACAAAAACAAAAUCCAAACCACACCACUGUGCUCUUUAUUGUGAGAAAAAUGUCUUUGUGUGUUGUUGCUGUGUUGUGUUGGGGGAAAGGAAAGAAAUUUUAUUUUUUCCCUUUCUUUCCUUCACACUCACACACACACAAGCUUUCUCUCACAUGUCUUUGUUUUCAAUUUUUCAUUACUCCUUGUUUAACCAACAACGGAUUACAAUGUUAAAACUUGAAACAAACAAACAAAACAAAAUGACAACUUUUAACGGUGGAUCUCUUGGCUCGU
rnacentral:misc_RNA from 1 species